UACGUAGGUGGCAAGCGUUAUCCGGAUUUAUUGGGUGUAAAGGGCGUGUAAGCGGGAGCGCAAGUCAGAUGUGAAAACUCAGGGCUCAACCCUGAGCCUGCAUUUGAAACUGUGUUUCUUGAGUGCUGGAGAGGCAAUCGGAAUUCCGUGUGUAGCGGUGAAAUGCGUAGAUAUACGGAGGAACACCAGUGGCGAAGGCGGAUUGCUGGACAGUAACUGACGCUGAGGCGCGAAAGCGUGGGGAGCAAACAGG
rnacentral:rRNA from 1 species